GCGUAUGUGGCGGAAUUGGCAGACGCGCCGGACUUAGGAUCCGGUGUUUCGACGUGCAGGUUCAAGUCCUGUCAUACGCA
rnacentral:tRNA from 1 species